rnacentral:tRNA from 1 species
CUGGGGAUAGAGCUCAGUUGGCAGAGUGCUUGCCUUGCAUGCACAAGGCCGUGAGUUCAAUCCCCAAUCCCCAGC